rnacentral:rRNA from 1 species
AUUGAACGCUGGCGGCAGGACUAACACAUGCAAGUCGAGCGGAGCGGCGGACGGGCGAGUAAUGCCUAGGAAUCUGCCUGGUAGUGGGGGAUAACGUCCGGAAACGGGCGCUAAUACCGCAUACUAUCAGAUGAGCCUAGGUCGGAGUAGCUAGUUGGUGGGGGAAAGGCAUACCAAGGCGACGAUCCGUAACUGGUCUGAGAGGAUGACCAGUCACACUGGGACUGACACACGGUCCAGACACCUACGGGAGGCAGCAGAGGGGAAGAGUGGAAAAUUGGCGAAAGCCUGGUCCAGCCAUGCCGAGUGUGUGAAGAAGGUCUUCGGAUUGUAAAGCACUUUAAGUUGGGAGGCGUUACCAACAGAAUAAGCACCGGCUAACUACGUGCCAGCAGCCGCGGUAAUAG